GUGAUAACCGCUGAAAGCAUCUAAGCGGGAAGCAUGCUUCAAGAUGAGGUUUCCAUGGGGUUUACCCCGAGAGGCUCCCAGCUAGACUACUGGGUUGAUAGGCCGGAUGUGGAAGUGCGGUAACGCACGGAGCUGACCGGUACUAAUAAGCCGAUAACUUGACACA
rnacentral:rRNA from 1 species